UACAGAGGGUGCAAGCGUUGUUCGGAAUUAUUGGGCGUAAAGGGCGCGUAGGCGGUGCCACAAGUCACCUGUGAAAUCUCCGGGCUUAACUCGGAGCCUGCAGGCGAAACUGUGGUGCUGGAGUGUGGGAGAGGUGCGUGGAAUUCCCGGUGUAGAGGUGAAAUUCGUAGAUAUCGGGAGGAACACCAGUGGCGAAGGCGGCGACCUGGUUCGAUACUGACGCUGAGGUGCGAAAGCGUGGGGAGCAAACAGG
rnacentral:rRNA from 1 species